rnacentral:rRNA from 1 species
UACGAAGGGGGCUAGCGUUGCUCGGAAUUACUGGGCGUAAAGGGCGCGUAGGCGGCGCCACAAGUCACUUGUGAAAACUCUGGGCUCAACUCAGAGCCUGCAAGCGAAACUGUGGUGCUGGAGUAUGGGAGAGGUGCGUGGAAUUCCCGGUGUAGCGGUGAAAUGCGUAAAUAUCGGGAGGAACACCUGUGGCGAAAGCGGCGCACUGGACCAUAACUGACGCUGAGGCGCGAAAGCUAGGGGAGCAAACAGG